GAGAACUACUAGCCACUGCUUAAAACUCAAAGGACUUGGCGGUGCCCUAGACCUUCCUAGAGGAGCCUGUUCUAUAAUCAAUAAACCCCAAUACACCUCACGCCUUCUCGCUUAUCAGUCUAUAUACCACCAUCAUCAGCUCACCCCAACAGGGUCCCAAAGUGAGUAAAAUCAUGAAACCAUAAAAACGUUAGGUCAAGGUGUAGCAUAUGGAGGGGGAAGCAAUGGGCUACACUUUCUAUAUUAGAACACAAUGAAAUGUCUAUUGACACAAAGAUAUGAAGGAGGAUUUGGUAGUAAAUUAAGAAUAGAGCGCUUAAUUGAAAUAGGCAAUAGGGUACGUACACACUGGCCCGUCACCCUCCUCAAUAAAGUAACUUCAAAUACCUAAUAAGUAUACACCAAAAAGAGGAGAAAAGUCGUAACAUGGUAAGUAGCUGUGUGACCUUG
rnacentral:ncRNA from 1 species